UCCUACGGGAGGCAGCAGUGGGGAAUUUUGGACAAUGGGGGCAACCCUGAUCCAGCCAUGCCGCGUGCGGGAAGAAGGCCCUCGGGUUGUAAACCGCUUUCAGAUGGAAAGAAAUGGUGUAGGUUAAUAAUCUGCAUUGAUGACGGUACCAUCAGAAGAAGCACCGGCUAACUACGUGCCAGCAGCCGCGGUAAU
rnacentral:rRNA from 1 species